rnacentral:tRNA from 1 species
GGAUUGGUAGCUCAAUUGGAAGAGCCUGCCCUGUCACGGCAGAGGUUGGGAGUUCGAGCCUCCCUCAGUCCC